AUCUUCCCCUCUCUAAAACUUGGUAAUUCCCUCUCUUUUUUCCCCCCGGUUUCAUCAGGAUUUCACCCUGAUCCUAAAAGUGAACGCCUUGUCCUCGUGUAGCAUUUUAUUAGUCAACUUUACUCUCUAUUUCUCUUUCUUUACCAUUUCCCUUUCUUUUCUUUCUUACUCUGAAUCCCCUCUCUCUUCCCACCCUCACCUCCUCAACAUUACACCUAAACUCCGCCUAGGUUACGUAAGGAUGCGUGUAUCGUGUUCAUGCAACUUCAACUGAUUCAAAUAAAGAUAGUAACAUCAAUGAAAAUUUCAACCUCGAGUCACACUGGACUAGAAAAACAAAUGCUCGAGGAUAAAAAUGAACCAAUCCUGGUUGAUAUAAAAUACAGUAAACAAAAGUGGAGAAGGAAAGAGAAACCAGAAAUGUCUUCUUCUUCUUCUUCGUCGUCUCUUCUAAUCACCUGUUUACCCACGGUGAACAAUUCAUUUCCACUGAUAUAGAUUUAUUCACCAAUUUCAAUUGCUAUUGAAUUAAAAAAAAGUCCUAUUGUCACUUUAAAUUUGGUUACGUAAAUGGGUAAUGAUUAUCUGAAAAAUGAACCCAAUCGAUCAUCAAGUCUGACUACAAUGUGCCAAAUCUUGAAAAAGAUUGACAAAACAAAUGAGCAAAUAAUGUUUGCCUAUUUUUAUCCUUGAUAUCAAAUGCUAAAUUAACUGUACUUGCUGUGUGUUUUUUUUCCUGGCAUCAAACUAGGUAAAUAACAAAGGAAUGAAUAAGAUAAUUCUGGUGAAUAAACUAUAAUCUAAUACAAUGGUAAAGAAGAUUAAACAGGCUUUUUUUUACACCAAUAAAGUAACUUGCAUUUACAUAAAGGCUACUGUUCAAAGUGAUAAAUGAUUUUUCAAUUUUCACUUUACCUUACCUUGAAUUAAAACAAAAAUCAGUGUAAAGCCUUUAAAUGUUCCAGUAGGCAAUUUUACCUGUAAUUAUCACAUUAGUCAAAGUAUGAUUAACAGUUAUAGAGUUGCGAAAUAUUGCGUUACGUCAGUGUAAAAAAGACAGACUCAAAACCUUUAUUUUGUAAGGAUUGUUUACAGAAGCAGCUGAGGUUAGGCCCCACCAGCGAUGAAAACCAAAACAUUUUACCUAAAUAGUUUGAGAUUCAAACAAUAGAUGGCAAAAGUGAAAUGGCUUUACUCUAUUUUUUUAGUUAAACCUUAAUGAAUAUUUCCAUAUGUUUUGGGUUUCAACUUUGAUAAAUUCUGGUUAUUCAUGGAUAUUUAUGGUCAUUUCGAGCGAUUUAUGCCAUCAAAUCGUGAAGUCAAUUAAAUUUGGACUUAUAUCGUCGGAAAUGGAACCUUAAUGUAACUCAAUGGAAACCAUUUCAAGAAAAAAUGUCAACAAUGAUAUUGAAUAUUAAUGAAUGAGGAAAAACUGAAACAAAAAUGAUUCAAUUUUGUCUAGACGAAUGGACUUGUUUAUCUCAGUUCUAAGGAUUAAGUUUCUCUUUCUCAUAAUAUCUAUUCGCCAUGGCAUGAAGACAGGAACCAAUCGAUUGGAAAUAUCCAUUUCAAAGCCCAGUUGCUGUUGUUGUUCAGCUUGAAGGCGAAAAGUUCAAGUUCAAGGUUGGCAUUUAUUGUUCAACUUUGGUUAUUCAAGAUCGCUCGAUAACUUAUAUUUUAUUGUCAACAAUAUCAUUCUUUAUUAUUUUGCUUUAGUAGGUUUGAAUAAGCCUAAACAUAAUGACUCUAGUUUACACAUCUGUAGUUGUGUAGAUUGUAUAAGUCAAACAAACGGAAUUGGUGAAACUGUUGAAGGUUGAAUCGAUGAGAAGUGUGAAAAUCACGAGCAAUAUUGAAUCAUUUGACCCACUUUGAGUUUACCAGGUUAUAAAUAUAACACUUUAGAGUAAGGAAAUGAACCAGAAACCAGUCAAUGAUCAUGAUUACCUGGGGAAGGACAAGAAUCAAACAGUAAAUAUGACACUUUAUAUAACGCCAAGCAUGGUGAAAUUGGCUUCAUUCAAAUUGGUUAAGAUGUUUAAAAAUGUUUAAAUUUAAACAGAUGAUCACAAAUGAAAUUGAAAAGGUGAUUAUUUUCAUAGAAAAUUGAUUGUUGACUCAGUCAACAAUUGACUACUUAUUUUCCGGGUUAUCUUCACAUCCAGUCUCAUCGUGAUCAGUCUUUAUCCUUGUUUUCACCAUCAUCCUCACCAUCUUCAUCAAAACCAAAAUGCAAUGUUCAACUUGAAUUCAUAAACAUAAUUACACUCUAAUUGCGCUUCGUGAUGUGAUUAAAGUCAAUCUAUUUUAACCAAUCAUAAAGUGAAUAAAUAAACUGGUAAACAAUGUUCAA